GGGGAAGGAAGCACGCCUCAUGACCAGAGUACAGGUCCAGAGGGGAAGGCCGCUAGGAAGGAGGAGGAGCAAGAAGCGGCGGAUGGAAACGGAAGGCACGGGAGUAGGAGAACCAGGAAAAGCGGCGGAAGAAGGCAACCGAGUGGAGGAGAAUGAGAGAGAAGAAAGCGAGGGAGGAGUGUUGGAGAAGGAGACGGUGGAAGAGCAAGUGAACUGGGGGGAAAGUGCCCUGGUGGAAGACAUGAGGGGUAUGGUGGAGGAGCUGGCGGGGGGGUGGUAUCUCUCCACUGCCGCCAUCACCAAAGAAGAGAAUGAAGAGGAGGGUGCGAUUGGCCGACAGUGAGAGGGAGGGGAUGGCCAAGAGAGUGAUAGGGGUGGGAGAAACCUCUGGGUUGCUGCUGGUUUCCCCAGGCCCUCAAUUUCUGUUGGGUGGGGACACACCUAACAAGACUCAGGACUGGGUACAGGAGGAGGUGGGGAGUUUUUUGUUUGGGGACUCAGCCUCCCUGAUUUUUUUCCAAACCAGCUGCAGCACUGGGGAGGGGAGGAGUGUGGGGGUAGACCCAGGGUGCAGGGCACCCCGGAGCCAAACACUAUUCCUGCAUCCUGGGUUGGUGAGAUGGAGGAAGAGGGGGGGAUGUCGGGAGUACGGAUGGUGUUCUCACCGGUAGAUAUGGAGCAGGGGAGCAUCGGGUUGGAGUUGCAAAUGAGAACUUGUUCUCAACUAGCCUACCUGGCUAAAUAAAGGUGAAAUAAAAUUUAAAAAUAAAAAAAAACUGGAAGAAAACAGUAACAGAAUCACCCACCACAACAGGACCAAGCGGCGUGGUGACAGGCAGUGGCAGGAGGAGCAGCGAAAUCCGGAUUUCUGGACAUGGGAGGAGAUAUUGGAUGGAAAGGGUCCCUGGGCACAGCCUGGAGAAUAUCGCCGCCCCAAAGAAGAACUGGAGGCGGCGAAAGCGGAGAGGCGCUGGUAUGAGGAGGCAGCAUGACGACGUGGAUGGAAGCCCGAGAGUCAGCCCCAAAAAUGUCUUGGGGGGGCACAGGGUGAGUGUGGCAGAGUCAGGAGUCACACCUGAGCCAACUCCCCCUGUUUAUCGUAAGGAGCCAAGGAGGAAACCAGAGCCAGAGCCGGUGUUAGAGGUGAGCGAAGCAGAGACUGUGAAGGAGUUAAUGGGGAAAUUGAAGGAGAGAGUUAUGAGGGAGUUGCUGUGUUGGUGCAUUAGGCACGGAAUUCGCCCGACGGAGCGUGUCGGGGAUUUGAUGGCACCUGGGUCAGCGCUCCAUACUCGUCCUGAGGUGCGUGUUAGUUGGCUGGUGAAGAUUGUGCCAGCCUCACGCACCAGGCCUCCUGUGCACCUCCCUAGCCUUGCACGUCCUGUGCCAGCCCUGCUCUCAAGAUCUCCAGUACGCCUUCAUGGUCCGGUCCAUCCUGUGCCACCUCCACACACCAGCCCUCCGGUGGCAGCUUCCCGCACCAGGCUUCCUGUGCGUGUUCUCGGCCCAGUACCACCAGUGCCAGCACCAUGCACCAGGCCUUCAGUGCGCUUCGCCUGUCCGGCGCUGCCAGAGCCUUCCUCCUCUCCAGCGCUGCCGGAGUCUCCCGCCUGUUUAGCGCUGCCAGAGCCUUUCUCCUCUCCAGCGCUGCCGGAGUCUCCCGCCUGUUCAGCGCUGCCAGAGCUGCCAGUCUGCAUGGAGCAGCCAGAGCUGCCAGUCUGCAUGGAGCAGCCAGAGCUGCCAGUCUGCAUGGAGCAGCCAGAGCUGCCAGUCUGCAUGGAGCAGCCAGAGCGGUCAGUCUGCAUGGAGCUGCCAGUCUGCAUGGAGCAGCCAGAGCUGCCAGUCAGCCAGAAUCUUCCAGAUCCGCCAGUCAGCCAGGAUCCGCCAGUCAGCCAGGAUCUGCCAGAACCGCCAGUCAGCCAGGAUCUGCCAGAACCACCAGCCAGCCAGGAUCUGCCAGAUCCAACUACCUGCCUGAGCUUCCCCUCAGUCCCGAGCUUCCCCUCAGUCCCGAGCUUCCCCUCAGUCCCGAUUUUCCCCUCAGUCCCGAGCUUCCCAUCAGUCCCGAGCUUCCCAUCAGUCCCGAGCUUCCCAUCAGUCCCGAGCUACCCCUCAGUCCCGAGCUACCCCUCAGUCCCGAGCUGCCCCUCAGUCCAGUGGGGUCCUUGGUGAGGGUUACUAGGCCAAGGUCGGCGGCGAGGGUCGCCAAUCAAACGACGCGAUGCUGGUGGACUAAGACUUUGUUGGAGUGGGGUCCGGGGG
ensembl:lncRNA